AAAAGCGUAAGAAACUCAAGGCAUCCCUCUCAGACCCUACUUCCACAGUAAACUAAUGNUUGGUGCGCUUUUACUAUCUAUCUUAGGUUGGAUAUUCUCGCGAUUUCUAUAUCUUUGAAGGACACAAACAUAAAACUAAGAUAAUUACACUGAGUACAAGACCACCUAUAUUUGAAAUCCCUAAGUUUUUUACUGCGGCUGAAUGUGAUCAUCUGCUUGCUUAUUCAAACCGCGUUGGUUUCAAGAAAAGUCCUCAAAUCCUGAUCGGUGGUGAGAUCAGCGAAGAAACUUCAGAAAAGACAUUNAAUGAGUGGGACUAUGACAAGGAUGGCUUCAUCUCACCUCGUGAGAUUGCAUGGCUUCCUGGUAAAUCAGACUUGUACAUAACAGAUGAAGAUGUCAUGAAAAUGUUUGAUGAUUUGGAAAUGGACUUAGAUCAUGACGGUGAGACAACAUUAAUUAUUUUAAAUUCCAAGUACGCUCAUUCUGAUUGGCUAAGAAGGGUGCCAUUUCUUUAAGCUAGAGUGUGUUUCUCUCUAUGUUAGUCUUCCUUUGUGCGGCAUAGGAAAACAUAAAAUAUCGCUUUUUAAUGAAAACCCAUUUGCCAAUUAUUAGCAUAAUAAAAUGUGAUAAACAGUCUUUGUAUAUGUAUCUAGUUUGAAUCUCGUUUUAUCUUGCUCAGGUGUGAUAAACAGUCUUUCUUAUCUAGUUUGAAUCUCGUUUUAUCUUGCUCAGGUGUGAUAAACAGUCUUUCUUAUCUAGUUUGAAUCUCGUUUUAUCUUGCUCAGGUGUGAUAAACAGUCUUUCUUAUCUAGUUUGAAUCUCGUUUUAUCUUGCUCAGGUGUGAUAAACAGUCUUUCUUAUCUAGUUUGAAUCUCGUUUUAUCUUGCUCAGGUGUGAUAAACAGUCUUUCUUAUCUAGUUUGAAUCUCGUUUUAUCUUGCUCAGGUGUGAUAAACAGUCUUUCUUAUCUAGUUUGAAUCUCGUUUUAUCUUGCUCAGGUGUGAUAAACAGUCUUUCUUAUCUAGUUUGAAUCUCGUUUUAUCUUGCUCAGGUGUGAUAAACAGUCUUUCUUAUCUAGUUUGAAUCUCGUUUUAUCUUGCUCAGGUGUGAUAAACAGUCUUUCUUAUCUAGUUUGAAUCUCGUUUUAUCUUGCUCAGGUGUGAUAAACAGUCUUUCUUAUCUAGUUUGAAUCUCGUUUUAUCUUGCUCAGGUGUGAUAAACAGUCUUUCUUAUCUAGUUUGAAUCUCGUUUUAUCUUGCUCAGGUGUGAUAAACAGUCUUUCUUAUCUAGUUUGAAUCUCGUUUUAUCUUGCUCAGGUGUGAUAAACAGUCUUUCUUAUCUAGUUUGAAUCUCGUUUUAUCUUGCUCAGGUGUGAUAAACAGUCUUUCUUAUCUAGUUUGAAUCUCGUUUUAUCUUGCUCAGGUGUGAUAAACAGUCUUUCUUAUCUAGUUUGAAUCUCGUUUUAUCUUGCUCAGGUGUGAUAAACAGUCUUUCUUAUCUAGUUUGAAUCUCGUUUUAUCUUGCUCAGGUGUGAUAAACAGUCUUUCUUAUCUAGUUUGAAUCUCGUUUUAUCUUGCUCAGGUGUGAUAAACAGUCUUUCUUAUCUAGUUUGAAUCUCGUUUUAUCUUGCUCAGGUGUGAU
rnacentral:lncRNA from 1 species